UACGUAGGGGGCUAGCGUUGUCCGGAUUUAUUGGGCGUAAAGAGCGUGUAGGCGGCCAGGUAGGUCUGCUGUGAAAACUCGAGGCUCAACCUCGAGAUGUCGGCGGAAACCAUCUGGCUAGAGUCCGGAAGAGGAAAGUGGAAUUCCUGGUGUAGCGGUGAAAUGCGCAGAUAUCAGGAAGAACACCUAUGGCGAAGGCAGCACUCUGGGACGGUACUGACGCUGAGACGCGAAAGCGUGGGGGAGCGAACAGG
rnacentral:rRNA from 1 species